UAACGCGUGGGYAACCUGCCUYANACAGGGGGAUAACAGUUAGAAAUGACUGCUAAUACCGCAUAAGANCACANNACYGCAUGGUYYKGUGNGAAAAACUCCGGUGGUGUNAGAUGGACCCGCGUCUGAUUAGKUAGUUGGCGGGGUARCGGCCCACCAAGACGACGAUCAGUAGCCGACCUGAGAGGGUGACCGGCCACAUUGGGACUGAGACACGGCCCANACUCCUACGGGAGGCAGCAGUGGGGAAUAUUGCACAAUGGGGGAAACCCUGAUGCAGCGACGCCGCGUGAGYGAWGAAGUAUUUCGGUAUGUAAAGCUCUAUCAGCAGGGAAGAANNUGACGGUACCUGACUAAGAAGCCCCGGCUAACUACGUGCCAGCAGCCGCGGUAAUACGUAGGGGGCAAGCGUUAUCCGGAUUUACUGGGUGUAAAGGGAGCGUAGACGGCCNUKCAAGNCUGAUGUGAAAGCCCNGGGCUYAACCCNGGAACUGCUUUNGAAACUGUAYGGCUGGAGUGNYGGAGAGGNAAGCGGAAUUCCUAGUGUAGCGGUGAAAUGCGUAGAUAUUAGGAGGAACACCAGUGGCGAAGGCGGCUUGCUGGACNAUNACUGACGUUGAGGCUCGAAAGCGUGGGGAGCAAACAGGAUUAGAUACCCUGGUAGU
rnacentral:rRNA from 1 species